rnacentral:lncRNA from 1 species
UCGACACCUGUGAGUGGACUGCAUUCAAAACUUAUUUUGGGAAAUAUAAUGUAAUUGCCACCCAUUUGAAUGAAUUAUCAAGUUUUUCAUGAAAAUAAGUGCCUUGGGAACAAGCUUUCGAAAAAUGGUUUUAUGUUUGUAAUAUGUGAUUGCUAUGGAUUCAUGCACUAUUGUAUUAUGGUGAUAUAUAUAUAUAUAUAUAUAUGUGUGUUGUGCAUGAUGAAUGAUAUUGUGUAUAAUGACUGUAACUGUGUGUGUACAUGAUGUGGGGAAUGCACAUGCCGGUGAUGAUGGUGGCGUGAGAGAUAGAUGAUGAUAGUGCCUGUGUGCACGAUAUAGGGGGAUGUACACGAUGGCACUGAUUGUGCAUGAUGUGGGGGAUGCACAUGAUGGUGCCGGCUAUGUGCACGGUGUGGGGGGAUGUACAUGAGCCAGGAGUGAUUAUGAUGAUAUUGAUGUUUGUCUAUUAUGAUGAUAUUGAUGUUUGUCUAUGUAAUUAUGCAUAUCUAGAUUUAUAAAAUGAAAGCUCAUGAAUGUGAUUUAUGGUUGACAUAUAUGUGAAAUUUGACACAUUGUACUUUGAGAAUUUUUAUGAGUUUUAUGUUGAUUUUGUUAGUUUAGUAGGAUGGCUUUUUGUUGAAUGAGGGAAAAUGUUUCUCUUAUUGCUUUGUUUUCGCUGCAACGAGAAACUCUCGGGUUUGAGGACCUUUCACUAGAACUGGUUCUCAUUGCAGCGAAAAACUUUUUGUUUCUGAGUAACAAUUUCGUUGCAGCGAAAUUCAUUUUCACUGCAGCGAAAAACUUUCUGUUUUGUCUCCUAUCUUGUCCAAUUGCUGCCCUAUUUUUCACUUUUUGGCUACCAUAUCUAAGCAUGGACUUCCAACAUUUAGGACAAAAUGAAUUAAGUUUAAAAUGAGGGGUUUUUAAUAUGAAUGGAACUAAAUUGCAUUGUUUUGAAACAAGUGCAUCAUGAUUUUAAAUUCUCCCUUGUUGUUGUUGCUUGUUCCUUUCCUUGUUCACUCACUAGGCUUAUACUCACCUUUUUCAAAUUCAUGUUUUCAGAUCACGAGGUAGUCGGUAACUAGGACGAGGUGUCCUUGUAGACUUGUGUCCAUCUUUUGGUAGGUGUCUCGGCAUUCGGUAGCUAUAUAUUCAUCCGAGUCACUCUGUUGGAAGUCGAGUGUUAUUUUGUUUUGUAUAGACGAACUUAAUGUAAAUUAUUAGAAUACAUGUUGUAGACAUUGUAUGUAAAUUUUUAAGGAGUAAUGCCAGUACGAGUUGG